rnacentral:tRNA from 1 species
GCCGGGAUGGCGGAACUGGUAGACGCAGGGGACUUAAAAUCCCUCGCCACGUUGUGGCGUGCCGGUUCGAGUCCGGCUCCCGGCACCA